UGUUGAUGGAAAACACCAGUCCACCACUCCUCAAGUCCUCAACAUUAAAUUUGGGAUCGUCAGAAUAUCUUGUUUACGUAUACCGAAAUCAAAUAUGAAUUUAAAUUUUUUAAUGACAUUAUUUUUUUUUUGUUAUUCUCAGAGCCUUAGACUGGAUGUUUAACUUAUGGAGAGAUACUGUACUACAGGGUUCAAGUAUAAAUGUUCUAAAGUCUAAAAUACUCCUUAUUAGUGCAUUUUAUAGAAGCUGUAGAGAGAAAGGGUGGGCUCUCCACCAAACUCCAUAGAGGCAAUGCAGUAUAUUUAGAAUGUUCUCACAUUUGGCACUUAUAUAUUUGCAAUGAGAGCUUCCUGUAAGUCUCGAGGCUAAAAUUACCCCAAGAAAUGUUGUUUCCCUUUUAACUGGAACUCUAAUAUUAUUAUAAAACACAGUCUCAUACGUGAAAAUAAGACAAUCAUAUUUCAUUUUCAAUAAUUUUUGUUUCAGAAUUGAAAGGUUGACAUUAUUAUAGCCUGCAGACAUAUCUAAGAAUACUGUUACACAUACACAGGCUUGUUGUAUGAAAAUGACAAUCUUAAGUCUGUCAUAAAAAUACUGAGACUAUCCAUAGUACACCUGCCUUUCCUAAAUCCAAACUGGUUUGAAGAUAGUAACCCCUUACUCUCAAUAAACCAUUCUAACCUAUUUUGAACUAAAUGUUCAGAAAUUUUCUAUAUAACUGAAGCUAAUGCAAUUGGUCUGUAUGAUGAUGGAUUAUUAACCAGUUUGUUGGGCUUAUGUAUUGGGAUAACUUUGUGGAUUUUCCAUGAUGGAGGAAUAUUACCUGAUGUUGAGAUUGAAUUAAUUAAACUGAGAAAAUAAGAAAGGCAGGAGCCAUUUAGGUAUUGAAGCAAAGAAUAUUUAAUUCCAUCACAACCCGGGGCUGAGUCCCUAAAUUUUUGAAAGAACCCCUUUGAGUUCUGAAAGGCUAACGGAAAUUAGUGAUUUGCUACUAUUAUGCUGGGAGAGGAAAGAAGGCAGUGAGUCAGAAGAAAUAUUAUCUAUAGAUGGGGCAUAUGGUGGAGCUAAUUUGUCAAGAUACAAAUCAACUAUACUGCUAUCCAUAAAAUGAGAUCUUUUAAAAGCGGAUCUGAAUCUCCCCACUAUUUUGCCAGACUUCAGAUGGAGAAAUGUCUGGUGAAAUUAAGGCACAAAAAGAUUUCCAUUGAAUCUUUUACGUGUUUUUGUUAUAAGAUUACUGAGAAUAUUAAAAUUUUUUUGUGUUUUCUCUGUAAUUUCAUUUCCUUCAGCUAUAUUUCUCUGGGCUAUAGCAGCAGAACACUCACUGUCCCACCAAGGUGAUCGAAUAUACCCAUUGCCACUUUUAUUUUUUAUUGGAAAAACUUCCUCAGCAGACAGCCAGUUUUUCCAAUGCAUGUUAAAGCUUCAGCACAAAUAUGAUUAUUGCUGUCAUUUAUUGGAGGAAAUGAUACAAUUAGCGGAAAGUGAUGGCUUCCAUAUGAAGACAAUAGAGGCCACCAAUGUAUCAACAAGCGAAGGACUACAUAGGGCCUAAGACACGGAAUAAUGGUUGAAGAAGUCGCAAGAGAUUUUGGUAAAAAUACACGAAACCAACGCAAGCGGGAUCUGGUUUAAAAUAAAAUAUUAUCUAUUGUAGAAUUAUGAUUUUGUUAUUCCUGCCUGAUUAAUCAUAUGAAUAUUAUUGAACAUAGUUUGUGCAAGUAUUUGUAGUUACACUGAAAUUUUCAAAGAAUCAUAGUCGUUGAUCUAUAGAAAGUUAUAUAUAUACUCGACAUCUACGAAAUCAUUAGAAGGGAAUUGCCGACUUGUUUCUCAUCUCCGUCGAUAUUUUAAAAAUUUACUUAAUAUCACAAUGUCUGAACUACUCCAA